rnacentral:misc_RNA from 1 species
AAGUCGUAACAAGGUCUCCGUUGGUGAACCAGCGGAGGGAUCAUUACAGAGUUGCAAAACUCCCCACAACCAUCGCGAACGUUACCUGCUUUACAAGCUCUUGUCAUUUGUCGUGGCAUCUUCUGAGUUAACACAAAAAUGAAUCAAAACUUUCAACAACGGAUCUCUUGGUUCUG